rnacentral:misc_RNA from 1 species
UGCAGAAUACUCUCAGCGGGGUCC